ACACAGGAAGGUUUUAGGCAAAAAGCAGAAACAUAUGGCAUGGUGCUAUAUUUUUAAAAUGGAAGUUACUAAAGUAACUCAAUGUUCAUUACUUUCCAAAACAUAUCUGAUGAAUUAAAAGUUCUAGAGCCCUAAACAACACCCACCAGCCAUUUAAAUUAAAAUUCAUUGCUGGACUCAGUGAGGUAAAGAAUGACAAAGAACUUGACUGCAAACAGAAGGGAGAGCAUUUUCCCAUGAAUGAUGAAAGAUAAAAUAGGGAUUGAGCUUUGUUAUUUUAUUGAGUGAAAAUAAUACAUCUACUCUGUACGGCUGACAGCUAACAUUACUACUGGACACCUCCUCAUUCACCUAAUUGGAGGAGGAACUGAUCAAAAAGUGGUAUAAUAUUUUGACUGGUUGGUCUAGAUUUUCAUCACUCGGAGACUGUUUUAUUCUGACUUGUAAGAUCAUGACAACAGAGAGAAGCAGAGACAAGACACCUCUGUGCUUAGUUUUCUAUCUUUACCUUGAUGCAAGCUGAGUUUCCACAAAGCCACCAUAUAAAUUAUUUGUCCCCAAUAUAUUACACCUCUGUGUAUUGUUUGCACUGAGGUGUAUAUCAAAGCAGCGACUGAAAUGAGCAGGUGUCAGAGAUAAGUGUGUUUCUGAAAUAGAGCAUCUGUCUUCUUUCUUGAUCUCUUUAAACUAAAUGUGGAGAAAGGAACUUGUAAUAAUACUUAUCGUUUUCAUUCAUCCUUGCUGAAACAUUUGGGUUUCAACACUUUCCUUACUGAGAAGAAUGUAUUUAUUUGAAACACGUCUUGAUGAAACAUUUCAUAAGAUAGAUCUGAUUUCUCAAUUACAAAAAGGCCACUCACACCAAUUUAGCAAUUUUCAAUAUAUUUCUUUAUUACUAUGUAAACCUUGGCUUUUUCUGUAGCUUGUUUAAAUCUUAUAGUGUGUUUCAGUCUUUCUAUCUGUUUAAAGGGAAUAACAAGAUCCUCUUUCUGCAUCUUAAUACUGUUAACAAUACCAUCCUCGCUUGCUUAGACUUCUUUGGAAGACAAGUUAUUGUCUAUAGUGCUGAGAAGGUUUGAUGCUAUUGAGACUUUAGAGAAGCUGAAGAUUGAAUUAGGCUGUUAGAGCAGACAGGACUUAACUCACCAGAGAGGUGUAAAAUACAUGAAGAAUGGGAAACUGGAGUUCAGCUGGAAUGAAAAAACCAAGUAGAGGGAUUUGAGACAUAAAAAGUUGGUUGGAAUAGGUUGGGGCAGGAGGUGGGGCUUAAAUACCUGGAUGAAGAGUUGAUGAACAGCUGGGAGUAUUUGACCUUUGGUGAGCCUCGGAAUGCCAUGGUGAAGGCAGUGUUUUAACACAAUUUUGAGCACUGUGUAUGAAAUGUGUCUAGUGCAUACCUCAGGCUGACUUGACAAGGACAUGAAACAGAGUGGUGCCAUUCAGAAUGAAAAGGAAGGGAUACACGUGGCAGAUAUUUCAAAGGAAACUUCCAUAAGAGUUUAGACUGAUAAAAUGUAAGGGAUAAAUUUGUCCCCAAAAUUUUGCCUAAAGCAUUAGGAAAAUGAACAAUAAUUGGGAAAUUAAAACAGAUGAUGACAUUGGAUUUAAAAAAUGUUGAUUUAGGUUUUAGGCACAUUGAAUUUGACAAAAGGAAAUUUCCAGGAGAGAAUAAGAGAUGCUUUAAGGAGAUACAGGGACAAUAUAGAAUUAGGAAUUAACUUGUAUAAUAAUUAAAUUAAAAGCUUAAGAAAGAGAUAAAAUGACUGACUGGACCUUGCUUAAAAUGCGUAGUGAUCUUUGAUAAAUAAAUAUUAAGUUUUUGAGAUGUAGCAUUGUAUUAAUUCAAAUUAGUCUGAUUGAAUAUGAUUUGGAGGCAUUGGGCCAAGUGUUGUACAUUUUUUCCCUGGUUAUAAAAGUAAAGUAUGUCACUGUAGAAUAUUUUUAAAAAUGAAGAAUUAUAUAAACAAGGAAGAAAAGAAGCAGCCUUAAAAUCACCCACAGCAACAGCUAUUAACAUGUUAACAAACUUAUGUAACUUUUUUAUAUGUAAUUUCACAGUCGAUUCUGCAUUUUUAUGUUAAAUUUAAUAUCUUUCUUGGCUUUUCAUAAACUUUUGUCAUCCUCUUAAAAAUCAUAUGUUAAUGGCUGCCUUCAUUGAAUUGCAUGGAAAAGAAUGGUGACAUGGUCAGCUUUGGAAUCAGUCGGUUUUGUUUUAAGUUCUGGAAUCACCAUGAAUUUGUUGCAUGAUCUUAGGUACAUAAAUCAUUUAACUUUUCUAAGCCUAAAUGAUUUCAUCCAAAAAUAUGGGAAGAAAAAUAGGACUUAUAAACUUAUUGGGAAGAUUAAAGAUAUAAUGUAUAUUAAACACUGAAGAUAAAUGUAUGUUAAACAUUUAGCAGUGUCUGUAAAUUUACAGGUCUCUCUGGAGUUAUGUAUUUCUCUUUUGUCUUUGUUUCCAUAUUUCUCCCUUAAGGACUCUGUCUAUAUUUGUUCAUCCAUAUUUCUAGGCAAUUUUUUUCUUUUGUUUCCUUUAUCCUUUCUUUCUUUCCUUUUUUAAUAGGUAAGAGCUACCUUUUCAACUUGAGAUUGGGAAAGAAGAAAACUGGAAAAUAUCUAUAAUAGGCUUGACUUGAGGACAAUUGUUACAUCCUUUCCUCAUUCCCAGCCUUUUUAGGCCGAAAGGUCCCUGGAUAUGUGAUUCAUAGACGCCUUUGUACCCCGUCCAGUUACCAGUUUAGCACUCUAGCCUCAGCUAGUCUUUAACACCAGGUUCCCUCUUGCUUGUCUGGAAAUGAGAACCAACUAAUUUUGGGCAUAUUUGGUUACACUCCACCUUUUAAUCUGACUCCUGUCCCGCGCUGCUCAGAACCUUUUGGCCCAGCACACAUCUAUGCACCUCUCACUUCUGACCCUUCCCAUGGGCUGCCACAUCCUCUUAAAAAUAGCCCAUCUCAUUUCUCUCCUAUAUUUUGGCUACAGAAACACCUAUGUGAACAAUGCAAAUAGGAGAAAACCAAAGAGUUCUCAAAAAUUCAGAUUCUCCUAAAAGUAGCAAACCAAAAUGCCAUUACUUCUACAUGGCCCAUUUCACAAGUGGUUUCAGCAGUACAAAUUGGCUGAAUUUCAGACUCACAACCACCUGCAGCGGUAUGCCUGUUGUGACUGCAGAAUCAGUCAGGGAAAGAAGGCUGUGUGGAACUGUACACGCAACAAUGACUUCUCAGUCAGAGACAUACCCCAGACUCCCUUCAACAGAAAGCAAACAAAAGCAAUAGUUCAUGAAAAUGUUUAUGAAAUGGGGUGUAGAAACCAAACACAGUGGCAGCCAUGUAGGCCUUUUAGAUUUAAGCGCAUUUAUUUUUCAUAGAAAUAAAAAUAAGCCUAGCUUUCAAAAACAUCUCAUGUUCUACUUGAGAUUUCAUAAGAAUAUUUUGCAGAAGAAUAUGGUUUUAUAUUAUCAAGAGAUAACUGAAUGACUUUAAUUUCUACUUGUUCAAUAUGAAGCCGAGUGUGACACAUCAAUUCCAUUAAGUUCAGUUCAACAAAUACUUACUGUCGCUGAAAUGCCGGAGGAGCUAUGUGAGGUGUUGUGUAGAGUGCAGAGAUAAACAAGACAUGAUCUCUGAGUCCAAGGACAUUCCCUCUCCUCCAAGUCAACUCAAUGUCUCCUUUUGAUCUUUCAAGGGCUUUUUGGAUCAUGAUCCUUUUGCAGUUUGGCUAGAAUUAUUCUGGGGAUUGUGUUGGAGUCAUUAAGAACCACUUUGUUUGUGUGUCUCUAAAGUGAGGCUACAGUAUUAACUAUUGGAAACACAUUUCUUUUAGAUUCUGUGUCCAAACUGUUCUCUGUCUGUACAUAUACUACAGACAAAGAAAUGAGGAUGCUACUGUUAGCAGAACAUCAGGAGGGGGACACAGCUUACUAAACCAAUUUCUGGCUCAAAAAGUCAUGUUAAAUAUUCUUAUGACACACACACAAAAGGGGGGCAGUAUCAUGAGUUAGUGCCAGAUGCUGGAAGGUGGUUGAGCCAGUGAGGCGGGCCCUCAGGAAGGAGAAGAGAAUUUGGAUGCAAAUUACAACAUUUCCUCCUCUAAGGAGAAUGGAGCACCAGGAGCUUUUAUCAUUUUCAGGGAAUGUUGUGAAGGGAAUUUCAUAUUUAAAUUCUUGAGACGUGAAAAUGAUGUAAUAUGUAAAACUUUUUGUAUGUCUUUGUUAGUUAGCCAAUUUCUCUGCCAUAAGGCUUUUCCAUGUGAAAUGAGCUGAGAAAGGAAAAAUAAAAUGUAGAUGAAAUCUCUUUUAGAGAAGAAGUGGAAGUAAAAUAAAAAUCUGCUUCUUCUGGCCCCAGGGAAUAAUGGGGGCAAAAGGGAGCAGAGGUAAGAGAGACAUUUGGUUGAGAUGUAGGAGUCCCAGUCUCAUCCCUCUAAAAUGAAGUCCUGGAAUGGAAGGUACUUCAGAUGUCAGAGGGGGACAUUGAAGCUGGAAAUGCUUGGGCUCCUCUUCCCAUUUGGGACUUUCGUAGGGACAACAGGUAGGGCACUGUGGUCUGGAAUUGACCCUGGGCAGCCUAGGAGCAGAGUGCUAUAGUCAGGUAGAGAGGACUUAUUUAGCAGUCAUGAGUUACCCUUGGCUCUCUGGGUUACGAGACACCGGAGUUUCCUUCUUGUCCCAUAUCAGGGGGAAUACUGAGGGAAACUGAGAGUCUGUGCGCAUGCCAUGGAUCACUGCCUAGAUGGACCCAGCACAGGCUGUCUCAUAGAGGAACCUGUGUUGGACAACAGGGAAGAGAAUCAGAAAAUGUCUGCCAUGCCAGUGAGAGUACCAAGGCUGAGCCAAUCAGCUGAAGAUCUCACUGAGGCCCAACCAAGUUGACGGAGACAAAAGCCGCAAGUUAUUCCAGGCUGAAGUUGAACAGCAGGAACCAAUACAUUGCACAAGGGUGGGAAGUCAUGCAACGAGGCCUCAGAAAUCCCAGCCAGCACAGACACAAGAACCAGCACAAGUGACUUGCAUAGGGGUCUGCUGGCUCUCCCAUCUUUUCUUGGCAUCGUCUCCAUUUCUUCAGAGGCACUUCCCCAAAUAAAAUCUUUGCUCUUUUAAUCCUGUUUUGGUGUCUGCUUCUUGGAGCUCUUGAACUAACUCAACCAUCGAUUCAGAUAAACUGGUUCAAAUCUGGGCUUGGCUAUUUACUGGCUACAGGGCCUGUGUCAGUUACUUAACCUCCGUAUUCUGCAG
rnacentral:lncRNA from 1 species